rnacentral:rRNA from 1 species
AUGUGGGAGCUGGAAAAGAGCCUUGAUCAGCCCAUGGACGCAAAGGCCGGGAGAAUGAGGAAUAUGUACAGAGAAAAGACCUACCCAACAGUUUUGAUGCUACAACUAGCUUUCCAAAGCCUUGGUGUGGUGUUUGGAGAUUUAGGCACACCAUCUCUUUAUGUUUUCUACAAUAUAUUUCCUGAGAAGAUAGAAGACACUGAGCAAAUUAUUUCUAGCUUGCUCCCUCCACCCCCCUGA